rnacentral:lncRNA from 1 species
GAAUCCACCCCCCCCACCCCCUCACACCCCCCCCCCGCCACACACACACACACACACACACACACACACACACACACAUUGAGACCAAAAGGGCUGCAAACAGGAAACUCAGACCAGAGAGCUGCUGCUGGCUGUGGGGUGGCAGCCCAAGCUCACACAGGAGAACGACACUCUCAAAGGUGCUGCUCCCUCUGCCCCUGUGAGCUGCGGGUGCCAGGGCCGGCUUCCUGGGAACUGCCCUGAAAUUGAGCAGCUCCUGGUCCACAGGAGGCACCCAGCUGCUUCCCACCUUGAAGAUUUCUCCUGGCCCUCGGCUAUUGAAGGACCCCGGGAGCCUGCCGCGAGGAGGUGUGGACAGGGACAGUGCGGGCAGCCCUGUGGCACACCUCCUUGCUGUCCUGCAUGCCCCCUCUCCAGCCUGGGGUAGUCAGUGUCUUGGAAAUCACAGAGCCAUGUUGGUCAAAGUUCACCUGAAAUUUCCUGAUGUCUGAACAUAAUGCACAUUGCCAGAGGAAGGAGCCAGUGUGUUUACACCCAAUGUCUAGGCUUUUCCUAAGGCCGAAGGUAACAUCUCAACUGGCACUGACUCCCGAGGCCUGCAUCUUCCACUGUAGGACCUUAAGGAACUUUGGAGCUGAUGUUCACAUUAAGUCAAAACUGCAAUGUCCAACGUCUGCCAAGGACUGCUCGGUGUCCACCCACAGAGCCCUCAUGUCCACAGGAGUCCUGAGCAUUUGCAGAGUUUGGAUUCAUUGCUUCAGUUACUCCAGAGACACCCAGGGAGCCUGUGGCCUGCACUCCUCUGUAACCCAGCUGGGAUGAAUCUGAUUAAAGUGAACUGCAGGCCUGGAAAGUGGACUCCAGACACUUUAGCCACGGAAAGACCCUGGUCGACUGCUCACAAUCGGGGACUUGGAGCAGCUGCGCUGCUCUCUGCUCUUCCCAAACACGAAUUAUGUGAGACAGGAUGCGCUCACGUGCCACUGGCCUGUUGGGGAUUUACAAAGGCCUCGGCUCUCCCUCUCAAAGGUCAGGAGUCUUUGCUGGUCAGUCACAAUGUUCUUUAUGAGGUAGAACGAAAAAUGCAUGAUACAAUGUAAGGUAUGUGUAUAGGGACACAUAUGUGUGCGGAAUGAAAAGGAUACGAAAGAAAACGCAUCCUACAGUUAGACCAACGUUUUCCAAAUGGAGGCGAUCCUGCCUCCAGAAGAUGUCUGAUAAUAUUUAAAGAUAUUUUGGGGUAUUGCAACUGGCUAGAGGGGCACACGUAGGGCUGUGGGGCGCAGGGCAUGAGUGCGUCUACCAGGCGGAGGCCAGGACGCUGCUACACCACCGCAGUGCCCAGGGUGGCCUCCAGCACGAGUGACCUCCCAGGACAACAGUGUCAAGGUUGACAACCCCGACUCUGAGUUUUAUGACAUUUCCUUCUCAUACCCUCCGCCCUCCCUUACUCCCUCUCUAAUAAAUUGUGUGGUUCUAAAACCAGAUGAUGAUCACUUUUGCUUCUGGAGAAUUUCUUUUGUAACUUAAAUAAUACCCUCAGCUUUUUUUUUUUUUAAUCAAGGACCGAGAAGGCAAUGAAGAAGUGGAAACCCCUGCAUUUUGUGAUAAAUCUACAGCUUAAGACAGAGUUCAUGAUGUUAUAAAUGCAUCUUGUAUAAAACUGCUCCCAAAU